CAUACAAAACAAGUCUAUUUAAUUAGCAAAAAUUCCCAAGACUCUUGUAUGAUGAUGGUCCACCGAUGUGUAGAUGAAAUAAUUCAACCAACAAGCGACCACCUUCAACAUGCAACUCUUCAUGUCCAGGAUAGCAUCAGUAGCUCUAACAAAAAGCUAGCCAUUUGUACUCUCCUGUUCAACCAAUACAAAUUGUUGGCCAAAAGUAAUGAAACGGAAACAGGCACUGAUCAUCUAGAAUAGAACUGUAUUCAUCGCAUUAUUUACCUCAUUUAAGUUGUUGAAGAAGUUGACAUGACUAAGGGAUUUACAUUGACUUGUUGUCCAUCUCGAGAAUUAGCAAGUAAUUCAGUCAACUUUUCCACUUCCUCACCAAGUGACUCAAUUUUUCUAAUAGCAGUUCUAACAAAAAUCUAGCAAUUCUGUAAAACAACAGAAAAGUAAAAGAUUGCGUCUGAGAAGAGGGUGAAAUGGCUUUCUCUUUUCAUUUGCAUUAACAAUUAUUCCAUUUAUACCUGAUCUAACAGGAGAAACAUAUGUUGGAUCAAUAGUAAUGUUUGUGCCGCCACCUAAAUCAGGACAUUGGUCUACAUAUUCAAUUUCAUUGUCAGGUUAAAUUGUGCCUAGGAAGGUCCAUCCAUCUCCUAUCCAAAGCUGAUAUUGACAAUCAAAUUUCAGAGGCCACUUAAAAUUAGUUUGUUUCAGUGGUGUUUUUUGUGCGUGAAGUACAAGUACUCACCAGUGUGCCCAUGGGAAAAAGAUAAAAAACAUUGCACAAGAAAAAUAUAACAUGAGGAUAUAACAUUUCAGCCUUUUAGCACAGUACUCAUGGCAAGCAGGAGGAUACUAACGGUUGUACAUUUGUUGUUCGGGACUUCUGUUCGGUAGAUGCUCAGCAACGUACACCUUGGAUGAUAUCUAGGUUGAUUGCAGCAAAAUCGGUAGUGGACGACUAAACUGCACCAUAGAGCCAAAUAGUUCAAACUUGGAAAUAGAUUAUAAUGUCACUUAAAAUAAAUAUUUGACCAAACAGGCUCAACAUAUACUGUUUCUCACACAUGUCUAGCUCAACAAUAUAACUGACCAAACAGGCUCAGAGACAAGAUUCCUCCACAUAAAAAAAGUUGGUUUGCACACUGCUGCAUAUGCAACAUUGACAUUGCAAUGCUAUAUAUCCAAAGCCUCUAAUUAUCUAUCCCUGAUGAUGAACUCUGCAAUUUUUUGUGAGCAGGACGAUAAUAAUAAGUGUAUCAUGGUACUACUAGGAAGAAAAGUGACAGACUGACAAUGCAUAGGAUCUAACUGUCACAGCCAAGCAGGUAGAUAAUCUCUCGUUCGCUAUUUUCUCCUUGUUUAUUUUGUCCAUUCAUUCACUUAUAAUUUAACACAUGAAACAAUCCAUACAUACAUGCAUACAUUCACUCAUUUCAGACCAAACAAAUCAUGGAUCUGGUAUAACAGGGAGAUUUUUUACCUGAACAAGUGGAUAUCCGUGGUCAUUCCUUGAUCUCAAUGCAGAGGGUGGUGGUGAACUGGUGAAGAAGGAAAAGGGCAGAAAAGCAUCUGAGGAGGAAGAAGACGAGGCGGAUGCGGGUAGGCAGCAUCGGAGGAGGACGGUGGAGGCGGUAGCAACGGAGAAGUAGAGGAGGAGGACGAGGAGUGGACGCCGGCGCAUGGAGUCGAGGGUUUCGGAGGUGGAACGGAUGGAGUCGAGGCUUUGGUGCGGAGGCGAGGGGCGCAGGAGGAGGAAUCGGUGGCCGCGUAGAGGAGUGGAGCUCGUCGGGGAGAGAGUGCGGCUGCGGGCCUGCGGCGGCGAUGGGGAGGCGUUGGGCAGCGACAGCGG
rnacentral:lncRNA from 1 species